UAAUGCCAGGCAGACCCGCUGCGGAGGUGAAGCAGGCGUUAAGCACUCCCCAUAGGUGGGCCGAUCCCGAAGAUAGUAUAAUGCCAGGCAGACCCGCGGCGGAGGUGAAGCAGGCAUUAAGCACUCCCCAUACGUGUUGAUUGUAACAGUCCUAUGUCCUGAGAAGUAAUCUGCAUUACCUUUUGUGCAUAAGCCACAAAAGAAGGGAUGAAAUCACGAAAUUGACAAAUAAAGGGCUGGAGUGACACAUACAAAGAAUGUGCAUUAAUUAGAGGCCAAUUGGAGAUGUUUUUGCUUGUGUUUGUGAAGCUGACAUUUGUUUGUCCUGCAGUAGACUUACUGAAUGAUGAUGGUGACAGUGAUUGUGUGACUGGUGUGCACAGAGUGCCUGUGAUAUGUUCUAGUAUUGUGCAUGUUUCAUGAUAUGUUGCAAAAGUGAACUUGGCAAAACUUUAUUUUUGUUUGUCUUCUUAAACAAUGUUCAGCAAGAGACCAUCUUCUCAUGGGGUAUUCCACCUUGUUAUAAUUUCUUUCACUUGCCUCAGCGCUUAAUAUUUCUGUGUAAAUUUUACACCACACUUCAGACGUAAGAUACUUUCUUCCAUAUUAUGAUGAUAUUUUCCACAAAUAAAAGCCUCUUCACUCUAUUGUAA
rnacentral:lncRNA from 1 species